AGUUUGAUUGAAAAUAAGUGCAAGCUGUGUGGUAGCCUUCCUUUCAAUCCCCCAGCUUAAGCCUCUUGCUGUUCAUGCCAGGCUGUAAUGCUACUCGUGGUCUGUGCCUGGAUUACAGUUAUGUGCUCCAGUCAGACAGCGAUAACUCUGGUUUUGGAAUGAAAGUUUCUUCAUUUAAUUUAGCUUGAACCGUGCAACCCAAUCCUGGAAGCGUGGAUGCAGCAGCCAGACGUGGUACAGCAGGUUGGCAAUUAGACAGUUUCCUUCCAUGAUGAAAAGUACUUCAUGAGAAAUCUAGGGCUGAGAGCAUCUCAUCUCAUCUUGAACUGGGCAGGUGAUCUUCAGAAAACUACACAUCAGAGUAAAUGGACAUAGUGCUUUGAAGAGAAGAUUUUCUGACAUUGCAAGCAUGCACUGCACAUGGAGAACUGCCUUGCUAAUGAACGGUGGAAUGGAGUGGAGACUGUACAAGAGGAAGGGGAUGACUAUUAGAAGAGAAUGUGGUUCUUAGUCAUUUCUUAGUAAUUUUGGCAAUAAACAUGCUGAAGAUUAGAUAAUUGCUAAGACUAGGUAAGAAAUGCAUUCCUACAACAACCAACAUAGAAAUGAAAACAUGAAUGCAGGACUCUGUGGAAGGAGCAGCAUAUUACAGCCUCAGAAACUACUGUAAGUGGAACUUAAAAGAAAGCAAAGUGAAGGAGAUGACAGGUUGGGAAUUUUUUUACACUUAUUCCAGAAACAUGAAUGCACAAGAAUCCAACAAUAAGAAACAUUUCUUGACAAGAACUCACAUUUAUCUUUCCUGUAAGCAACAUUCAAGUGGAUACGUGUGGACUGUCUUAGCAGAUGAAAGAUUGCCAAAGUUGAUUAGCUCAAGUUAACAGGCACUACGAAGGUUUUAAAAGAGUCUUGAAAUUAAUUUUAUGUCCUUCAGUUAUAUUAUUUCUGUUUCUUUGAGUGUGGAGAUACAAAAAGGGGCUCCCACAGAUGUAAGAUAGUUAUUCUUUGUUCUCUUCUCUGUGAAUAUUUCCUAUUUGCAGUCAAUGUUCCAUCGAGGCAGGAGCUGAAAAAUCUCUGCACAAUGACUCAGAAAGUCUUUGUACAGCACUAAUAAAAUGUCAUCAGCAGC
rnacentral:lncRNA from 7 species